rnacentral:rRNA from 1 species
UACGUAGGUGGCAAGCGUUGUCCGGAAUUAUUGGGCGUAAAGGGCGUGUAGGUGGAUGAUUAAGUCGUGUGUCUAAGUGCGGGGCUCAACCCCGUAUGGGCGCAGGAAACUGGUUAUCUUGAGUGCAGGAGAGGAAAGUGGAAUUCCCAGUGUAGCGGUGAAAUGCGUAGAUAUUGGGAGGAACACCAGUGGCGAAGGCGACUUUCUGGACUGUGUCUGACACUGAGGCGCGAAAGCUAGGGGAGCGAAC